AUUGAACGCUGGCGGCAGGCCUAACACAUGAAAGUCGAACGAGUGGCGGACGGGUGAGUAAUGUCUGGGAAACUGCCUGAUGGAGGGGGAUAAAUAAUGGAAACGGUAGCUAAUACCGCAUACCAUCGGAUGUGCCCAGAUGGGAUUAGAUAGUAGGGGGGGUAAAGGCUCACCUAGGCGACGAUCCCUAGCUGGUCUGAGAGUAGGACCAGCCACACUGUAACUGUGACACGGUCAAUACUCCUACGGGAGUCAGCAGUGGGGAAGAUUGCACAAUGGUCGCAAGCCUGUUGCAGCCAUUCAGCGUGUAUGAAGAAGGCCUUCGGGUUGUAAAGGACUUUCAGCGGGGAGGCGUUACCCGCAGAAGAAGCACCGGCGAACUCCGUGCCAGCAGCCGCGGUAAUUC
rnacentral:rRNA from 1 species